UACGGGGGGGGCAAGCGUUGUUCGGAAUUACUGGGCGUAAAGGGCGCGUAGGCGGCCUGGCAAGUGGAUGGUGAAAUCCCUCGGCUUAACCGAGGAACUGCCAUCCAGACUGCUUGGCUUGAGACCGGGAGAGGUGAGUGGAAUUCCCAGUGUAGCGGUGAAAUGCGUAGAUAUUGGGAGGAACACCAGUGGCGAAGGCGGCUCACUGGACCGGUACUGACGCUGAUGCGCGAAAGCGUGGGGAGCAAACGGG
rnacentral:rRNA from 1 species